rnacentral:misc_RNA from 1 species
GAUGAAGAACGUAGCGAAAUGCGAUAAGUAAUGCGAAUUGCAGAAUUCCGUGAGUCAUCGAAUCUUUGAACGCACAUUGCGCCCUUUGGCAUCCCGAAGGGCAUGCCUGUUCGAGCGUCAUUUAUCAACCCUCAAGCCCGGCUUGCGGUUGGGUCCCGCCGUGGGCGACCACGGCGGACCCGAAAGGUAAUGGCGGUGCCCGUGGGGCCCUGGACGCAGCGAGCUUCUCGGCACGCGUCCCGGCGGUCCCCGGCGCCGUCUCCACCAAUCCACCACGCAGAUUGACCUCGGAUCAGGUAGGGAUACCCGCUGAACUUAAGCAUAUCAAUAAGCGGAGGA